ACGAACGCUGGCGGCGUGGAUAAGACAUGCAAGUCGAACGAGAGAAUUGCUAGCUUGCUAAUAAUUCUCUAGUGGCGCACGGGUGAGUAACACGUGAGUAACCUGCCCCCGAGAGCGGGAUAGCCCUGGGAAACUGGGAUUAAUACCGCAUAGUAUCGAAAGAUUAAAGCAGCAAUGCGCUUGGGGAUGGGCUCGCGGCCUAUUAGUUAGUUGGUGAGGUAACGGCUCACCAAGGCGAUGACGGGUAGCCGGUCUGAGAGGAUGUCCGGCCACACUGGAACUGAGACACGGUCCAGACACCUACGGGUGGCAGCAGUCGAGAAUCAUUCACAAUGGGGGAAACCCUGAUGGUGUGACGCCGCGUGGGGGAAUGAAGGUCUUCGGAUUGUAAACCCCUGUCAUGUGGGAGCAAAUUAAAAAGAUAGUACCACAAGAGGAAGAGACGGCUAACUCUGUGCCAGCAGCCGCGGUAAUACAGAGGUCUCAAGCGUUGUUCGGAAUCACUGGGCGUAAAGCGUGCGUAGGCUGUUUCGUAAGUCGUGUGUGAAAGGCGCGGGCUCAACCCGCGGACGGCACAUGAUACUGCGAGACUAGAGUAAUGGAGGGGGAACAGGAAUUCUCGGUGUAUCAGUGAAAUGAGUAGAUAUCGAGAGGAACACUCGUGGCGAAGGCGGGUUCCUGGACAUUAACUGACGCUGAGGCACGAAGGCCAGGGGAGCGAAAGGGAUUAGAUACCCCUGUAGUCCUGGCAGUAAACGGUGCACGCUUGGUGUGCGGGGAAUCGACCCCCUGCGUGCCGGAGCUAACGCGUUAAGCGUGCCGCCUGGGGAGUACGGUCGCAAGAUUAAAACUCGAAGGAAUUGACGGGGACCCGCACAAGCGGUGGAGUAUGUGGCUUAAUUCGAUGCAACGCGAAGAACCUUACCUGGGCUUGACAUGUAAUGAACAACAUGUGAAAGCAUGCGACUCUUCGGAGGCGUUACACAGGUGCUGCAUGGCCGUCGUCAGCUCGUGUCGUGAGAUGUUUGGUUAAGUCCAGCAACGAGCGCAACCCCUGUUGCCAGUUACCAGCACGUGAAGGUGGGGACUCUGGCGAGACUGCCCAGAUCAACUGGGAGGAAGGUGGGGACGACGUCAGGUCAGUAUGGCCCUUAUGCCCAGGGCUGCACACGUACUACAAUGCCCAGUACAGAGGGGGCCGAAGCCGCGAGGCGGAGGAAAUCCUGAAAACUGGGCCCAGUUCGGACUGUAGGCUGCAACCCGCCUACACGAAGCCGGAAUCGCUAGUAAUGGCGCAUCAGCUACGGCGCCGUGAAUACGUUCCCGGGUCUUGUACACACCGCCCGUCACAUCAUGGAAGCCGGUCGCACCCGAAGUAUCUGAAGCCAACCGCAAGGAGGCAGGGUCCUAAGGUGAGACUGGUAACUGGGAUG
rnacentral:rRNA from 1 species